UACGUAGGUGGCAAGCGUUGUCCGGAAUUAUUGGGCGUAAAGCGCGCGCGAGGCGGUCCUUUAAGUCUGAUGUGAAAGCCCACGGCUCAACCGUGGAGGGUCAUUGGAAACUGGGGGACUUGAGUGCAGGAGAGAAGAGUGGAAUUCCACGUGUAGCGGUGAAAUGCGUAGAGAUGUGGAGGAACACCAGUGGCGAAGGCGACUCUUUGGCCUGUAACUGACGCUGGAGGCGCGAAAGCGUGGGUAGCAAACAGG
rnacentral:rRNA from 1 species